UUCUCCGGGUGUACCCGCACUUCCGCUCCCCGUGAUACCGGAGAGAAGUUCUGACAGCUCAGACUUCACUCAGUUCAUUCCCACCCCUAACCCCCCAAAAUCACCUUUUAUCACCGUUUACAGUCGCAAGUGCCUCAAUUAAUCACCGAACGAAGUUUGGGUGAGCGGAAGGCGACCGAUUAUGGUGUAGCACGGACUGCUAGCUCCAAAAGAGAUUACAGGCGUUUGAGUCGCGGCGCAGCACGCGAGGGCGGGGCAGAGCACAGAACGCUGCAGUAGCAAUGCUUACAUUGGCCAGUAAGCUGAAGAGGAAUGAUGGCGGACAGACGGGCCGAGCCGCCGGAGCCUGUGACGCCACUCACAGGGUCUCCAUCAGGGACCGUCUCCUUACCAAAGAAGUUGCUGAACUUGAAGCCAAUCUUCCUAGUACAUGCAAAGCCAAUUUCCCAGAUGAAGACAAACUACACCAUUUUCAGCUGGCAGUGUCUCCUGAUGAAGGUUACUACCAAAGUGGCAGGUUUCAGUUUGAAAUAGAUGUCCCUGAAGCUUAUAACAUGGUGCCUCCGAAAGUGAGAUGUCUGACCAGAAUAUGGCAUCCAAAUAUCACAGAGAAUGGGGAGAUCUGCUUGAGCCUAUUGCGCGAACAUUCUAUUGAUGGCACAGGGUGGGCUCCUACCAGAACAUUAAAGGACGUGGUCUGGGGAUUGAACUCGUUGUUCACUGACUUGUUGAAUUUUGAUGACCCAUUGAACAUCGAUGCGGCAGAACAUCAUUUGAGAGACAAGGAAACCGGAGUGCCCGGAGAAAACCCUCGCAGGCACGGGGAGAACUUGCAAACUCCACACAGGCGAGGCCAGAUUUGAACCCGGGUCCCCAGAACCAGAUGAGGCAGAUGUGCUAACCAGUCUUCCACCGUAUCACCUGCCCUACAAGAUCAUCUGAACUUUUUGAGGGAGGAUUUCCGGAGCAAAGUUCAAGAUUACAUCAAGCACUACGCCAGAUGAUAGACGCAUCAGGACGUACCAAGUUUGCUACCAAGCUGCUCUACCUUUGCCUCAGUUUAUCUCUGAAGUCCACACCGAAUUAGCAGCCGGCCGUCUUUAACGUGGCGCUCUGCUCACCUUCUCGCAGUAAACCACAACAGAAACAAACAUGGGAAACACACACAUUCGAGCAAGGACGCAAAGCAUUAUGCUUUAUUUUUUCAGAGGUCACGUUGACGCGCUCACUCGAUGACGCUGCUGGCUCGACAGAGACAGACAGCCAACGUCCGGCGAGCAACCGGUCGCUAUUCGAGUCUGUCUUUUUUUGUUUUACAGUGAGUAGAGUAAUCAAAAGAAGGAUUACAUAUGUGCGUUCUCCGUUCCAGUGCCUGCAGUGUUUGUGUUGGCAGAAAAGGGGGGUAAAUAAAUAAAUAAAUGCAUGCGAAUUGACAUGAUGUAAUCUGAAGACAUUUACACACAUUUGUGGACACUUUACAUGCUACACGUGACCUGCCCAGCCCCACAGGACAGCGUUUGAAUGAUCAGCACCAUAUCGUCCUAAUCUGUUGUUAUUCACAAUCACACGCUCACACACACACACACGCAUACAUACACACACUUUGAUCACUUUUUUUUUUUAUUUUAUUUUUUUACACACCAUUAUGGGCAGAAUUGGAGACUUUCACCUAUUUUUGUCAUCUUCCUUCCCAUUUUUCACGCAAUGUUUUUUUCCAUGUCUCACACAAAUGCACAAUGUACCACUGAGAAGAGGAUGUGAAGGUGUUUUCAUGCCUAUAACAGAAGUGUAGCCAGAGAGGAAAUGGCCUAAGUUAAUUUUGGACAUUAACGGCAAUUUUUUUUUUGUGUGUGUGUGUGAAAGCAGAAAGAAAAAUACUUGCGAAACAAUUACAGGGGUUCCUCGAUUUAUGACGUUCAAAAAUACAUAAGGGGCACAAGAAUCAAGAGGUUUACCGCUGUACUUACUAUUCAUUAGCCUAAUAGCAUGCCAAAGUCAUUUGUUAACGUUUUUGGAAAACAAAGCAAAAACAAAUCCAACAAACAACAACAGUCCAGUUGCCUCUUCAAUGUUUGCAGAGUGCCAUGACCUGCAUGACUGACCAUCGACUAAACCACGGAAAAAAAAAAAAAAAGUUUUUAGCAAACACAGUGGUAUUUUUAUUGAUUACUGACAGUCAUCCUAUCAAGCUAAGGGUUAAUGGCCUGGAAGUGUUACAUACAAAUAUUCACUAUAACUGCGAUUUUACUACUGCGUUAGUUUAGGCUAGUGACUAACACAUUCAGACUUCUGCAGGAAUUUGGGUUACGCUGUAAGAAUGAAACUGUUGUAAACUGAGAAUCCCCUGUACUACUAACAAUUAUUUUUCUUUGCUUUUAUUUUGUCUGUGCUGAAAAGAAUCAACAUUGUCUGCGUAAUUUCUUGAAACUGUCCCAAAGUUUUUUUCCCAUAAGAAUGUUUGUGGCCACAAAAAAGUAUUAAACUAUUAUAUUGGAUUUAAA